AACCUCCGCAAUGUGAGAAAUCGCGACGGGGGGGUCCCAAGUGCCAUUCUUAACGGGAUGGCUUUUCAUUAGUGUAAAGAGCUUUUGGAAUAAGAGCUGGGCAAGACCGGUGCCAGCCGCCGCGGUAACACCGGCAGCUCUAGUGGUAACAAUUUUUAUUGGGCCUAAAGCGUCCGUAGCCGGUUUAAUAAGUCUCUGGUGAAAUCCUGCAGCUUAACUGUGGGAAUUGCUGGAGAUACUAUUAGACUUGAGACCGGGAGAGGUUAGAGGUACUCCCAGGGUAGAGGUGAAAUUCUGUAAUCCUGGGAGGACCGCCUGUUGCGAAGGCGUCUAACUGGAACGGUUCUGACGGUGAGGGACGAAAGUUAGGGGCGCGAACCGGAUUAGAUACCCGGGUAGUCCUAACUGUAAACGAUGCGGACUUGGUGUUGGGGUGGCUUUGAGCUGCUCAGUGCCGAAGGGAAGCUGUUAAGUCCGCCGCCUGGGAAGUACGGUCGCAAGACUGAAACUUAAAGGAAUU
rnacentral:rRNA from 1 species